GUCUGAGCCCCAGCCUCAGGCCCAGAGCUCACGCUCCUCUGUACUCUGCUUUCUCGAACGGGAAAGGUGCCCAGCGUGGUGCGGGCGCCCUGGGCGCGCACUGCUCCCUGUACAACCACCAUCACCCUCGCUUCUCUGCCGUUGAAUCGCAGGGCAGGGGCUGCUCUGCCUUGCCGACCUUUAAGGGCACCCAGACCGGCGUCAGCCACGUUCUCGGAGCUGCUGGUACUUUUCCUUGAAAUAAACAAGCCACAACAAAGCACUUCUAUUAACGAAUGGAAGGAGCCUCGGGGAGCCCGCAGAAGACGGCGGAAGGAAGCACCCGUGUCUCUCUCGUUCAGGUUCGGCAGCGAGGGAAGGCGGCCUCAGCGGCUGGGAAGGGCAGAGCCUGAACCCAAAAUUCGGAAAAAGCAGAAGCAGUCACUUGAAAAUGAGGCGGGGGAGGGGGGCGUGGGGAAGAACCCUCAGAACCGAUUACAUCAUAACGUGAGCAAAUUCACAAAAUAAACAGUCACCGUUUUCAAAUUA